GAUGAACGCUAGCUACAGGCUUAACACACGCAAGUCGAGGGGAAACGGCAUUGAGUGCUUGCACUCUUUGGACGUCGACCGGCGCAAGGGUGAGGAACGCGUAUCCAAUCUUCCCAUUACUGUGGGAUAACCUGCCGAAAGGCAGACUAAUACCGCAUAGUCUUCGAUGACGGCAUCAGAUUUGAAGUAAAGAUUUAUCGGUAAUGGAUGGGGAUGCGUCUGAUUAGCUUGUUGGCGGGGUAACGGCCUACCAAGGCGACGAUGAGUAGGGGUGCUGAGAGGAAGCUCCCCCACAUUGGAACUGCGACCCGGUCCAAACUCCUACGGGAGGCAGCAGUGUCGAAUAUUAGUCAAUGGACGGAAGUCUGACCCAGCCAAGUAGCGUGCAGGAUUCCGGCCCUCUGGGUUGUCAACUGCUUUUGUAUGAGGUUAAAGUUAGGGACGUGUCCCUAUUUGCAGGUACCUAACGAAUAAGGACCGGCUAAUUCCGUG
rnacentral:rRNA from 1 species